rnacentral:rRNA from 1 species
GGUUUCUUAGUAUUUAGUAUAGGAAAUUUGGCCUGCCCACUGAAAUUAUUUAAGGGCCGCAGUAUAUUGACUGUGCAAAGGUAGCAUAAUCAUUAGUCUUUUAAUUGGAGGCUGGAAUGAAUGGUUGGACGAAGGAAAAGCUGUUUUUUAUAAAUUUAUUUAUUGAAUUUGAAUUUUAAGUUAAAAGUCUUAAUUAUAAUUGAGGGACGAGAAGACCCUAUAGAGUUUAAUAAAUUAAUUUAAUUUGGUUUAGUUAAUAAUUAAUUUAUGAUAUUUUUAUAUUUAUUAGGUUGGGGUGAUUUUGAGAUAGAUAAAACUCUUAAUUGUUUUUAAUUUUAUUUUAAGGUUAUUGAUCCAUAAUUAGUUUAUGAUUAUAAGAUUAAAUUACCUUAGGGAUAACAGCAUAAUUCUUUUUGAAAGUUCUUAUUGAAAAAAGGGAUUAUGACCUCGAUGUUGGAUUAAGAUAAGUUUUGGGUGUAGAUGCUUAUAAAUCUAGGUCUGUUCGACCUUUAAAAUCUUACA